rnacentral:rRNA from 1 species
CCUACGGGUGGCUGCAGUGAGGAAUAUUGGUCAAUGGGCGCGAGCCUGAACCAGCCAAGUCGCGUGAGGGAAGACGGCCCUACGGGUUGUAAACCUCUUUUGCCGGGGAGCAACGGGCGCCACGUGUGGCGCCACUGAGAGUACCCGGAGAAAAAGCAUCGGCAAACUCCGUGCAAGCAGCCGCGGUAAUACGGGGGAUGCGGGGGUUAUCCGGUUUUUUUGGGUUUAAAGGGUGCGUAGGCGGUGCGUUAAUUCAGUGGUAAAAUUGAGGGGCUAACCCCAUACCCGCCAUUGAUACUGGCGCUCUUGAGUGGAAGAGAAGUAGGCGGAAGUCGUGGUGUAGCGGUGAAAUGCAUAGAUAUCACGCAGAACCCCGAUUGCGAAGGCAGCAUGCCGGCUUCCUACUGACGCUGAAGCACGAAAGCGUGGGGAUCGAACAGGAUUAGAUACCCUUGUAGUC